UGUAGUUUGGUGUUAGAGCACUUGCCUGGCAUGCAUGAAUCUCUGAGUUCAAUUCUCAGUA
rnacentral:tRNA from 1 species